UACGUAGGCAGCGAGCGUUGUUCGGAAUUACUGGGCGUAAAGAGUGUGUAGGCGGUGUUCCCAGUCUGUUGUGAAAUCUCCCGGCUUAACUGGGAGGGUGCAGCGGAAACUAGAAUGCUAGAGGGUGGGAGAGGUAAGCGGAAUUCCUGGUGUAGCGGUGAAAUGCGUAGAUAUCAGGAGGAACACCUGCGGUGUAGACGGCUUACUGGACGGUAACUGACGCUGAGGCACGAAAGCGUGGGUAGCAAACAGG
rnacentral:rRNA from 1 species